GACGAACGCUGGCGGCGUGCUUAACACAUGCAAGUCGAACGGAAAGGCCCUGCUUUUGUGGGGUGCUCGAGUGGCGAACGGGUGAGUAACACGUGAGUAACCUGCCCUUGACUUUGGGAUAACUUCAGGAAACUGGGGCUAAUACCGGAUAGGAGCUCCUGCUGCAUGGUGGGGGUUGGAAAGUUUCGGCGGUCGGGGAUGGACGCGCGGCUUAUGAGCUUGUUGGUGGGGUAGUGGCUUACCAAGGCUUUGACGGGUAGCCGGCCUGAGAGGGUGACCGGCCACAUUGGGACUGAGAUACGGCCCAGUCUCCUACGGGAGGCAGCAGGGGGGAGUAUUGCACAAUGGGCGGAAGCCUGAUGCAGCAACGCCGCGUGCGGGAUGACGGCCUUCGGGUUGUGAACCGCUUUCGCCUGUGACGAAGCGUGAGUGACGGUAAUGGGUAAAGAAGCACCGGCUAACUACGUG
rnacentral:rRNA from 1 species